rnacentral:lncRNA from 1 species
AACCGCCACAUACAGCUAUGGUAUUCAUUCUCAAUGAAUCGAAGGAAAUUGUAUAUGUCAAGGUCAUAGGAAAUAAGUAGCUGGUCGUAGGUAAACGUGUUGGAAUCAAACAUGAACAUUGUAGUGCAAGCGAAGGUGUACAUACCGAAAACGAAAAUGAAUGGCAAUGGGCAAAAGAUAAUGGUUUACCCAAAUUUUGCCCAAGGAAAAAGUUAAGCUUAGCCCAGUGGUUGACAAAAAAACAAUGCAUGUAACAAUGAUAACUAAAACAUAAACAAAUUGCAAUGCCUUUCCUAUUUCGGAAAGAAGAACAAGUCAAUGUGAAAGCUGAAGAUGAACUAUUGUGUGUUGAAAUUGUCGAAGAAAAAGUAAAAAGUUUUAGGGAGAUACACAAUUAGAGUAGAAUCAAAGGGGGCAGUUGAUAAUAGUUCAAAGGCUAGAAAUUUUUCACAUUAUAGGGAAAGAGCAAAACUUUUACAAAACUGCGGCCAAACUAUUGGGACACCAAACGAAUGUACCAAUUUACCAUUGGAACUUGCAACCCUCAGGAACGACAAAAAAAAAGGGAAAUUACAUGGUUGUAGGAAGAAAAAAUCCGAUAAGGUCAGGCCAGUUACUAACAAUGGGGAAUAUAAUGGUUGUAGGAAGAAAAUAUUCUAUAGGGUCAGGCCAGUUACUGGACAUAACGAAACCAUUUCACUUCUAAAAACUUUAUGAGAUCCCUGAUAUCUGAAUUAGAGCAAAAUCCAGGUAUAAAUGUGAGGUAUUGCGAAAUACAUCAAGAUGAUUAUAAUGAAGAAUUCAAUUAUCACGUUUACAGAAUUCAACUGAACAUCAGAAAUUUCGAUGUGCAGAAACAACAAACAUUUUAUUGGUCAAUAGAAGUUGCCGAAUAUUAUACAAUGGAUUAACGAAAAUAUUAAUAACAGACUUUCAGUUAACAAUUAUGUAAUGUUUUAACUAUUU